GACGAACGCUGGCGGCGUGCUUAACACAUGCAAGUCGAACGGAAAGGCCCUGCUUGCAGGGUACUCGAGUGGCGAACGGGUGAGUAACACGUGGGUGAUCUGCCCUGCACUUCGGGAUAAGCCUGGGAAACUGGGUCUAAUACCGGCUAGGAGCCAUUUUUAGUGGGAUGGUUGGAAAGUUUUUUCGGUGUAGGAUGAGCUCGCGGCCUAUCAGCUUGUUGGUGGGGUAAUGGCCUACCAAGGCGGCGACGGGUAGCCGGCCUGAGAGGGUGGACGGCCACAUUGGGACUGAGAUACGGCCCAGACUCCUACGGGAGGCAGCAGUGGGGAAUAUUGCACAAUGGGCGCAAGCCUGAUGCAGAGACGCCGCGGGGGGGAUGACGGCAUUCGGGUUGUAAACUCCUUUCGCUAGGGAUGAAGCUUUUUGUGACGGUACCUAGAUAAGAAGCACCGGCUAACUACGUG
rnacentral:rRNA from 1 species